GCUGCCAACUCACCACGACACAGGAUAUAAAACAUGACCCAGUCAGCCUAGUAAUCAAUGUCAAGUGGCUGCAUGUGUGUGUGUGCGUGUGCAUGUCAGAGCCACAGAAAAGGCGAGACAGACGAGUCUUGUUGAAAACUGAAAUGUGCGUGAAGUGAAAUGAAGCAGGAGUAAAGAAGGACAACGAGAAGGAAGAACACGAGAAAAAGCACUUUCCCCUGCGCGAGUGGAAGGAACAGCUUGCAGGAGGAAGCGCAGAGGAGCUGGUGUGGGUGUGAGGAGGAGACCAAAACAGUACCAGCCAUAACAGUUGUGUGUUUACCUUGUGGAAGCUCCUGAAGUACGCUGCCUUCUCGUCUGGGUACUUCUCUAACCGUCGGGGUCCUUUACUGGAGGCUUUCUUGAACACCAGCCAACACCUCCGGAAAAUCUGACAACAGAGAAGGAUGGCAGCCCCCCGUUACUAAAACACAACUGUCCCGGAGCAAGGAGAUACAUUAAGUUGCUUAGGAGAAUGCUGCAACACUAGAGAUCCAGAAAUGAGCAAAACUACAACUAACUUUGCAUCAGCAUGGGGUGGGACCCCUCUAUUUCCUGGUGGAGACAGCCGCUAUCACUCUGCCUGAUGUAUGAUUGCCCUGGGCCACAUGGUCGCGUUGGGGAACCGUGGAUGUACGAUUAAUUUGUUUACUCAGCUGGUGUACUUCAUAAAAGGCCCACUGAGUUGAACGUGAGUUGAACUCGGCACUUUGCAGUAAUUGACUAGAGUGGAUCCCUAGGUCCUUAUCGGUCUGCCUUGAUGGGCCUCCAUUCUAGUUAAGUGUUGCCCAGGCCCAUUAUAAACAGCAAACAACACAAAAUAGUGCACUAGACACUCGCUAAUGCACUGCGCAUCACUCUCCACACCCGCCAUAAAAAUGCUUUAAAGAACAAAAGUGCAAUAAAAUCUUACUCAAAAUUGAACAUACUGUAUUUAUUUCCAUAAUAAUGCCUGUUAAAAUAAAACAAAACUGCAGCUUUAACAGAAACACGAGCAUGAAUGUGAAUCCCUUUUGACAAUGGCCAUUAUCACAUUUGCGACUUUAAAACAGCAGAAUUAAAAGGGCCUCAAUUCCCCUUUGGGAGCUUGAAUCAAAGCAAUGCAGCCUGCUUGCCGCACACAAAGUAAUUCACCCUAGGAGUGCUCAGAUUAAGUAAUUAUACCAGCACAAAAGCAAGCUCAGUGAGAUAGCUUGUGCAUAAUAAGAACUAGGGGGUAUGAAUGGAGAGGGUUUAAUUUUGCCUGUUCCACAGUUGUCAAUGCUUUGUCAAGGCAGUCCUAUUCUUGAGCUGCUGGUGGUUCUUAUUCAGCGACACUCUUACACUGAUUGUAAUUAUACAGACAUGAAAGAGACUCUCAGCUGGUUUG